GAUGAACGCUGGCGGCGUGCCUAAUACAUGCAAGUCGAACGAAACUUCUUUAUCACCGAGUGCUUGCACUCACCGAUAAAGAGUUGAGUGGCGAACGGGUGAGUAACACGUGGGCAACCUGCCCAAAAGAGGGGGAUAACACUUGGAAACAGGUGCUAAUACCGCAUAACCAUAGUUACCGCAUGGUAACUAUGUAAAAGGUGGCUAUACUACCGCUUUUGGAUGGGCCCGCGGCGCAUUAGCUAGUUGGUAGGGUAAAGGCUUACCAAGGCAAUGAUGCGUAGCCGAAGUGAGAGGUUGAUCGGCCACAUUGGGACUGAGACACGGCCCAAACUCCUACGGGAGGCAGCAGUAGGGAAUCUUCCACAAUGGGCGAAAGCCUGAUGGAGCAACGCCGCGUGGGUGAAGAAGGUCUUCGGAUCGUAAAACCCUGUUGUUAGAGAAGAAAGUGCGUGAGAGUAACUGUUCACGUUUCGACGGUAUCUAACCGGAAAGCCACGGCUAACUACGUG
rnacentral:rRNA from 1 species